GGCGAUAAGGGGACCUCGAGUGCCAGGUUACAAAUCUGGCUGUCGUGAUGCAUAAAAAGCAUUGCAUAGCAAGGGCCGGGCAAGACCGGUGCCAGCCGCCGCGGUAACACCGGCGGCUCGAGUGGUAACCGUUAUUAUUGGGUCUAAAGGGUCUGUAGCCGGCCGGAUAAGUCUCUUGAGAAAUCCAGCAGCUCAACUGUUGGGCUUUCAGGAGAUACUGUUCGGCUCGAGGCCGGGAGAGGUGAGAGGUACUUCAGGGGUAGGGGUGAAAUCUUGUAAUCCUUGAAGGACCACCAGUGGCGAAGGCGUCUCACCAGAACGGACCUGACGGCAAGGGACGAAAGCUAGGGGCACGAACCGGAUUAGAUACCCGGGUAGUCCUAGCCGUAAACGAUACUCGCUGGGUGUCGGCCACGGUGCGACCGUUGUCGGUGCCGUAGGGAAGCCGUGAAGCGAGCCACCUGGGAAGUACGGCCGCAAGGCUGAAACUUAAAGGAAUUGGCGGGGGAGCACCACAACGGGUGG
rnacentral:rRNA from 1 species